rfam:Cryptosporangium aurantiacum strain DSM 46144 genome assembly, contig: Ga0131100_102
GCUGGUGUGGCGCAAUUGGCAGCGCACCCGACUUGUAAUCGGGCGGUUAGGGGUUCAAGUCCCCUCACCAGCU